rnacentral:rRNA from 1 species
AUUGAACGCUGGCGGCAGGCCUAACACAUGCAAGUCGAGCGGGGUUUUCGGACCUAGCGGCGGACGGGUGAGUAAUGCGUAGGAAGCUACCCGAUAGAGGGGGAUACCAGCUGGAAACGACUGUUAAUACCGCAUAAUGUCUACGGACCAAAGUGUGGGACCUUCGGGCCACAUGCUAUCGGAUGCGCCUACGUGGGAUUAGCUAGUUGGUGAGGUAAUGGCUCACCAAGGCGACGAUCCCUAGCUGGUUUGAGAGGAUGAUCAGCCACACUGGAACUGAGACACGGUCCAGACUCCUACGGGAGGCAGCAGUGGGGGAUAUUGGACAAUGGGCGCAAGCCUGAUCCAGCCAUGCCGCGUGUGUGAAGAAGGCCUUCGGGUUGUAAAGCGCUUUCAGUAGGGAGGAAGCGUUGUGUGUUAAUAGUACACAGCGUUGACGUUACCUACAGAAGAAGCACCGGCUAACUCUGUGCCAGCCGCCGCAGUAAUAC